rnacentral:rRNA from 1 species
AACGUACGCUGGCGGCACGCCUAACACAUGCAAGUCGAACGAAGUAGCAAUACUUAGUGGCAGACGGGUGAGUAACAUGUGGGUAUCUGCCCCUUUGGCCUGGAAUAACACGAGGAAACUUGUGCUAAUACCGGAUAAGUCUUUACGGAGAAAGCUUUAUGCACCAUUGGAUGAGCCCGCACUUGAUUAGUUUGUUGGUGGGGUAAUGGCCUACCAAGACUGUGAUCAAUAGCUGAUUUGAGAGGAUGAUCAGCCACAUUGGGACUGAGACACGGCCCAAACUCCUACGGGAGGCAGCAGUGGGGAAUCUUGCACAAUGGAGGAAACUCUGAUGCAGCGAUGCCGCGUGAGUGAAGAAGGCCCUUGGGUUGUAAAGCUCUUUCGUCGGGGAAGAAAAUGACUGUACCCGAAUAAGAAGGUCCGGCUAACUUCGUGCCAGCAGCCGCGGUAAUACGAAGGGACCUAGCGUAGUUCGGAAUUACUGGGCUUAAAGAGUUCGUAGGUGGUUGAAAAAGUUAGUGGUGAAAUCCCAGAGCUUAACUCUGGAACUGCCAUUAAAACUUUUCAGCUAGAGUAUGAUAGAGGAAAGCAGAAUUUCUAGUGUAGAGGUGAAAUUCGUAGAUAUUAGAAAGAAUACCAAUUGCGAAGGCAGCUUUCUGGAUCAUUACUGACACUGAGGAACGAAAGCAUGGGUAGCGAAGAGGAUUAGAUACCCUCGUAGUCCAUGCCGUAAACGAUGUGUGUUAGACGUUGGAAAUUUAUUUUCAGUGUCGCAGCGAAAGCGAUAAACACACCGCCUGGGGAGUACGACCGCAAGGUUAAAACUCAAAUGAAUUGACGGGGACCCGCACAAGUAGUGGAGCAUGUGGUUUAAUUCGAAGAUACGCGCAGAACCUUACCAACACUUGACAUGUUCGUCGCGACUCUAAGAGAUUAGAGUUUUCGGUUCGGCCGGACGAAACACAGGUGCUGCAUGGCUGUCGUCAGCUCGUGUCGUGAGAUGUUGGGUUAAGUCCCGCAACGAGCGCAACCCUCACUUUUAGUUGCCAUCAUUAAGUUGGGCACUCUGAAAGAACUGCCAGUGAUAAGCUGGAGGAAGGUGGGGAUGACGUCAAGUCCUCAUGGCCCUUACGUGUUGGGCUACACACGUGCUACAAUGGUAUCUACAACAGGAAGCAAGACUGCGAGGUCAAGCAAAUCCUUAAAAGAUACCUCAGUUCGGAUUGCACUCUGCAACUCGAGUGCAUGAAGCUGGAAUUACUAGUAAUCGUGGAUCAGCGUGCCACGGUGAAUGCGUUCCCGGGUCU